UGGCACCAUUCAAGCAAUGACAUUUUGAGAAUUAAAACAUAGCCAAGUCUGAAAGCAGGACACACCAUCACUAACUCAGGAGAACCUUGACAUGAAACAAUGCCCCCCUGCCUUUCCUCUUGCUUCUCUUUGCCUGUUUGUUUAAUCAAAUUACGCUACAGCCAUCCUACAACUGCACAGUGAUUUCUGAAAGGACUCCACUGGAGUUCAUUCCAUUUGCAUCAGUCAAAGAAGCUGUCUUUCCCUUCAAAUUGCCUUCCCUAUAGCCUUCAAAAUUGGAACAAGGGAUGGCUUUUGUCUUCCAGCCUUACCAGGAAGAUGAAAGUGAAACAGUUCCCUUCUCUCUGCAGCCGGUCUGCACACGAUGAUCUGCCCAGGAAACUCCCAUGCCACCCCAUGGUUUGGAGGAACCAAACCCCCAGCCUUUUGAGGGGUGAGACUCCUGGAAUUUUCGUCCCGUGCCUUCGUGGGGAUUUCUCCUGUAUUUAGUAUUUGUUCACCCGACACAGACUUGCAGAGCCUAAUGCAUUCCAGACACUGCGCUGAGUGCCAGGAAUAAAGAAACAUCUGUACCUGGUACAGUCUGGCUGGGGCAAGAAACCACCAACAUGAUAAGCAAAUGAAUGUAUAAUGUAACAGAACAUGGGUUGUGCCCUGAAGAAAAAUAAAGACUGACCAGGAAAGGGGAUGGGAGUGGGGAGAAAAACCAUAUUAAACUGAAUUAUACCUUCCACCUUACCU
rnacentral:lncRNA from 10 species